GCAGGCAGAUUCUUUACCGCUGAGCCAUUGGGGAAGCACCCUGAACAGGGACUGUCUCCAUGAGGCUAGAAACCCUGGCCGCCAGAGCAGAUGGAAGCCUCUUCCUCUAGUUCCAACUAGAAACAGCCUGCAGGUCAACCCUACUUGGAUCACCUGCCCAGUUGCAGGACCAGAGGUGUGGACACCAUCACAGGGGCUCCUGAUCAGAACCACAUGGUUCCCAUGGACAAAAGGGGUAUUUCUCCUAAAGAAGAGGACAUUGUCAUCCAUCCUCAUCCUAGAAAAAAGAUGCUGCCAUCCACAGCAGGUGCUCAGAACACACUGGCUCCCAACUUCAGCGGCCCUUCCUCAGGGCACCAAGGACCCUGGAUGCUGACAAAUCUGACUUUUUCCAGCAAUCAGCCCUAC